rnacentral:rRNA from 1 species
AAGCCAUGCGAGUUUAAAGGACUUCGGUCCUUGGCAGACGGCUCAGUAACACGUGGAGAACCUGCCCUCAGGAGGGGGAUAACCCCGGGAAACUGGGAAUAAUACCCCAUAGGUCUAGAAUGCUGGAAUGCUUCUAGGCUCAAAGCUCCGGCGCCUGAGGAUGGCUCUGCGGCUUAUCAGGUUGUAGUGAGAGUAACGUCCUCACUAGCCUAUGACGGGUACGGGCCCUGAGAGGGGAUGCCCGGAGAUGGACUCUGAGACACGAGUCCAGGCCCUACGGGGCGCAGCAGGCGCGAAAACUCCGCAAUGCUCGAAAGAGUGACGGGGGGAUUCCAAGUGCCUACGCUUAGCGUAGGCUGUUCAGAUGCCUAAAAAGCAUCUGGAGUAAGGGCUGGGUAAGACGGGUGCCAUCUGUGGCAGCAGCCGAAGAUUUGGCUUGUUGCUGCAAGGCAUAAGCCGCCGCGGUAAUACCCGCAGCCCGAGUGGUAGUCGAUUUUAUUGGGCCUAAAGCGUCCGUAUCCGGUCUGAUAAAUGCCUGGGUAAAUCGUCUGGCUUAACCAGACGAAUUCCGGGUAGACUGUCAGACUUGGGACCGGUUGAGGAAGAGGGUACUUUAGGGGUAGGAGUGAAAUCCUGUAAUCCUUGAAGGACCACCAGUGGCGAAGGCGCUCUUCUAGGACGGGUCCGACGGUGAGGGACGAAAGCCAGGGGAGCAAACCGGAUUAGAUACCCGGGUAGUCC